GACGAACGCUGGCGGCGUGCCUAAUACAUGCCAGUAGAACGCUGAAGCUUGGUGCUUGCACCGAGCGGAUGAGUUGCGAACGGGUGAGUAACGCGUAGGUAACCUGCCUGGUAGCGGGGGAUAACUAUUGGAAACGAUAGCUAAUACCGCAUAAGAGUAGAUGUUGCAUGACAUUUGCUUAAAAGGUGCAAUUGCAUCACUACCAGAUGGACCCGCGUUGUAUUAGCUAGUUGGUGAGGUAACGGCUCACCAAGGCAACGAUACAUAGCCGACCUGAGAGGGUGAUCGGCCACACUGGGACUGAGACACGGCCCAGACUCCUACGGGAGGCAGCAGUAGGGAAUCUUCGGCAAUGGACGGAAGUCUGACCGAGCAACGCCGCGUGAGUGAAGAAGGUUUUCGGAUCGUAAAGCUCUGUUGUAAGAGAAGAACGAGUGUGAGAGUGGAAAGUUCACACUGUGACGGUAUCUUACCAGAAAGGGACGGCUAACUACGUG
rnacentral:rRNA from 1 species